rnacentral:tRNA from 1 species
GCAGUAGUAGCUCAGCGUUAGAGCGUUGGUCUUGUAAACCAAAUGUCGGAGGUUAAAUUCCCCCCUGUUGCU